GUAGGAGCUGCCGAAGGCUGCGAUCUUUUGAUCUUUUUUUCAGGAUCAAGAUCAAGGGAUCGCAGCCUUCGGCAGCUCCUAC
rnacentral:misc_RNA from 1 species